rnacentral:lncRNA from 10 species
UGAAACGCUCCAAGUGCCUAUUUCCUUUCAAUACCUAAGCCCAAGACUACAAGUAAAAAAGGAUCUCCAUUUCCUGCCCCUACUUCUCAGGUUGCAAAACUGUCUUUUGACAGAUUAUUAGAAUCUUUAAAGUUGAGAGUUUCUGGUGCCCAGCGUGGGGCAAUGGAGACAUCACACUCCCUCUGAAGCCUGCAGAAAAGAUCCUGAGACAACCGACAAAAAGCCAACAGAAGGGUGAAUCUACAUGAUAGAGUGGAAGCCACAAAGGAAGAAGAAGAAGAGAUUCUAUCUGGGUAUGGAGAAUGAAAAAAAAAAAAGGUGUAAAGAGGGGUCUGGCUCUGUCAUCCAGGCUGGAGUGCAGUGACUCAAUCAUGGCUCACUGCAGCCUUAACUUCCGGACCUCAGGUGAUUCUCCCACCUCAGCCUGUCAAGUAGCUGGGACUACAGGUACACACCAUCAUUCACAGCUAAUUAUUUUGUUUUUUUUUUUUUUUAAAUAAAGACAGGGUUUCACCAUGUUGCCCAGGCUGGUCUCGAACUCAAGAACUGAGCUCAAGCAAUCUGCCUGCCUCCAUCUCCCAGACUGCUGGGACUACAGGUGCAAGCCACUGCACCCGGCUACUUUUUAAUUUUUCAAAAUACUGCAUUAAGAGUAUUUAUCUUGGCUGGGCGCGGUGGCUCACGCCUGUAAUCCCAG